rnacentral:rRNA from 1 species
UUUAUGGAGAGUUUGAUCCUGGCUCAGGAUGAACGCUGGCGGCGUGCCUAAUACAUGCAAGUCGAGCGAACUGACGAGGAGCUUGCUCCUUUGACGUUAGCGGCGGACGGGUGAGUAACACGUGGGUAACCUACCUAUAAGACUGGAAUAACUCCGGGAAACCGGGGCUAAUGCCGGAUAACAUGUUGAACCGCAUGGUUCAACAGUGAAAGACGGUCUUGCUGUCACUUAUAGAUGGACCCGCGCCGUAUUAGCUAGUUGGUAAGGUAACGGCUUACCAAGGCGACGAUACGUAGCCGACCUGAGAGGGUGAUCGGCCACACUGGAACUGAGACACGGUCCAGACUCCUACGGGAGGCAGCAGUAGGGAAUCUUCCGCAAUGGGCGAAAGCCUGACGGAGCAACGCCGCGUGAGUGAUGAAGGUCUUCGGAUCGUAAAGCUCUGUUGUUAGGGAAGAACAUAUGUGUAAGUAACUGUGCACAUCUUGACGGUACCUAACCAGAAAGCCACGGCUAACUACGUGCCAGCAGCCGCGGUAAUACGUAGGUGGCAAGCGUUAUCCGGAAUUAUUGGGCGUAAAGCGCGCGUAGGCGGUUUUUUAAGUCUGAUGUGAAAGCCCACGGCUCAACCGUGGAGGGUCAUUGGAAACUGGAAAACUUGAGUGCAGAAGAGGAAAGUGGAAUUCCAUGUGUAGCGGUGAAAUGCGCAGAGAUAUGGAGGAACACCAGUGGCGAAGGCGGCUUUCUGGUCUGUAACUGACGCUGAGGUGCGAAAGCGUGGGGAUCAAACAGGAUUAGAUACCCUGGUAGUCCACGCCGUAAACGAUGAGUGCUAAGUGUUAGGGGGUUUCCGCCCCUUAGUGCUGCAGCUAACGCAUUAAGCACUCCGCCUGGGGAGUACGGUCGCAAGACUGAAACUCAAAGGAAUUGACGGGGACCCGCACAAGCGGUGGAGCAUGUGGUUUAAUUCGAAGCAACGCGAAGAACCUUACCAAAUCUUGACAUCUUUUGACCGCUCUAGAGAUAGAGUUUUCCUCUUCGGAGGACAAAAUGACAGGUGGUGCAUGGUUGUCGUCAGCUCGUGUCGUGAGAUGUUGGGUUAAGUCCCGCAACGAGCGCAACCCUUAAGCUUAGUUGCCAUCAUUAAGUUGGGCACUCUAAGUUGACUGCCGGUGACAAACCGGAGGAAGGUGGGGAUGACGUCAAAUCAUCAUGCCCCUUAUGAUUUGGGCUACACACGUGCUACAAUGGAUAAUACAAAGGGCAGCGAAACCGCGAGGUCAAGCAAAUCCCAUAAAGUUGUUCUCAGUUCGGAUUGUAGUCUGCAACUCGACUACAUGAAGCUGGAAUCGCUAGUAAUCGUAGAUCAGCAUGCUACGGUGAAUACGUUCCCGGGUCUUGUACACACCGCCCGUCACACCACGAGAGUUUGUAACACCCGAAGCCGGUGGAGUAACCAUUUGGAGCUAGCCGUCGAAGGUGGGACAAAUGAUUGGGGUGAAGUCGUAACAAGGUAGCCGUAUCGGAAGGUGCGGCUGGAUCACCUCCUUU